rnacentral:lncRNA from 1 species
AUAAAUAAAUAAAUAAAUAGAAUAAAAUAACACUAAUCAUAUACAUGCUCUUAAAACACUUAGGAGAAAGAAAUAAUUCCACAUUUAGGAUAUGAGGAUAAGCUUAUCCUAAAACAAAAACCAUCAUAAGAAAAGCAGACUACAAACAAAUAUGUCUCAUGAAUGUAAAUGAAAAAAAUCAUUAACACGUUAGUAAACUGAACUAAAAAUAAAUACAGAGAAUAACACAUCAUGACUGAGGAUUAACCCAGGAAUUUCAAGUGGUUUAACAUCUGAAAAUCAAUCAAUGUAACUUAUCAUAUUAAUAAAGGAAAAAAUUCAUAUGAUCUUUUCAACAAUUGCUGAGAAAGAAUUCAGAAAAAUGCAACACUCAUUUAUUGAUAAAAAUAUUAAAGAAAGUAGGAAGAGCAGGGACCUUCCUUAACAUUAUAAAGGGCAUCUACAAAAAAUCUGCAGUUAACAUCAUACUUAAUGGUGAAAGACAAUACUUUUCACCCUAGGUCAGGAAUUGGGCAAGGAUUUGCAUGCUCACCACUUAUGGUCUCCAUUAUUCUGGAGGUCUUCUCCAGCACAAUCAUACAAAAAAACAAUCAAAGACAUACAAGGGAUGGAAGAAGUCAAACUGUCUUUAUUUAGAGAUGUCAUGAUUGUAUAUAUAGAAAAUCCCAAGGAAUCUACAAAAAAGCUAUUAGAAAGAUCUCAGGAUAAUAAUGUACAAAAAAAUCGUAAUACAUUGUGGUAGUUUUCAAAUUUCCACAAAUUCUUUGGCACCCUUCUCUUUAAAAGGUGGAUUCUAAUCGCCUUUCCUUGAAUGUGGGCUGGUCAUAACACCUUGCUUCUAAUUAAUAGAACCUGGUGGAAGUGAGCGUGUGUGACGUCUGAGGUGAGGUCACAAUAGGCAUUACUAUUUCUGCCUUGUUCUUUUGGAUGGCUUCGUCUGGAGCCAGGGGUCUUGCCAUGAAGGACAUUCAAGCAGUUCUGAGGAGAGGCCCAAGUGAAGAGGAACCAGUUGCCAGCACCACCCUGUCAGCUAUGUUAGGCCCCUGCCUAUAUAAACAAUUUGAUUAAAAACAUAUAUUUAAAAAUUCAUCAGUACAUGUGAGAUAUGAUGAUUUAUCAUUGAAGAUUUAGGAUGAUGGGCAGAGAAAGGCAAUCUGUUUUGUCUAUUGUCCAAUCAGUGCACGUGAAGAUUUGUUACAGUAUCCAGUGGGUAGGAUAGGUGAGAAGCCUAUAAGUCGAGCUGGAAGAGCUGUCCCAAUCACACCAGAAAAAUCCAUCUGGCUUAAGACUGACCCAAGACAGUAGGAAGUCACAUCACCAACUGCAGCAAAAGAUUUGCUGCAAAGGCCCGUUUGUGUUGUGGAGCAAGGUUCUCAAAAGGCCUCAGAGGGGCCAGGCCUAGCCCGCCCCAAGGACUGACCGACACAUGGUACAGAGCUGCAGGGGUGAGGAGGCCACGACAGGGGCCAGAUGUGGAGCUCAUAGGUCGAAGUUCGCUUUACCGUCCUCCCCUGCUGCAUGCUGAAACCCGAGGAAAAGACUAAAAAAGACCAAGCCUGUUAAACAACUCCAUCAAAGAAAAACAAGGAAGCCAUCCAGCUUUGUUCUGGACUCAGCAGCUAAGAUGGCAUGAGCUUCAUCGUAAAGCAUAGUUCUAUGUCAUGUCUACUGGAUGAAUCCAAUGUGGCUGGUCCCUUAAUAAAAUAAGUUGUAACAUAAAUGAGACUGCA